UACGUAGGGUGCAAGCGUUAAUCGGAAUUACUGGGCGUAAAGCGUGCGCAGGCGGUGAUGUAAGACAGAUGUGAAAUCCCUGGGCUCAACCUGGGAACUGCAUUUGUGACUGCAUCGCUGGAGUGCGGCAGAGGGGGAUGGAAUUCCGCGUGUAGCAGUGAAAUGCGUAGAUAUGCGGAGGAACACCGAUGGCGAAGGCAAUCCCCUGGGCCUGCACUGACGCUCAGUGCACGAAAGCGUGGGGAGCAAACAGG
rnacentral:rRNA from 1 species